UGCCCUAUUGGCCUUCUGCCUUCCC
rnacentral:piRNA from 1 species